ensembl:snRNA U6 U6 spliceosomal RNA
GUGCUUGCUUCAGCAGCACCCAUGCUAAAAUCGGAAUGAUACAGGGAAGAUUGCAAGGAUGACAUGCAAAUUUGUGAAGUGUUCCAUAUUUCU